rnacentral:misc_RNA from 1 species
GAAAUGCGAUAAGUAGUGUGAAUUGCAGAAUUUAGCGAAUCAUCGAAUCUUUGAACGCACAUUGCGCCCCUUGGUAUUCCAUGGGGCAUGCCUGUUCGAGCGUCAUUUCAACCCUCAAGCAGUGCUUGGUGUUGGGCGUUUGUCCCGCAUACGCGCGUGGACUCGCCUCAAAGUCAUUGGCGGCUGUUCCCCUUCGGCUCGUAAGCGCAGCACAGUCGGCGCCCGGAGCUCUGGUGGGAUGGCGUCCAGCAAGCUAUAUUUUCAGGCUUGACCUCGGAUCAGGUAGGGAUACCCGCUGAACUUAAGC